UCCCUGGUAGUCCAGUGGCUCAGACUCUGCUCUUCCAAUGCAGGGAGCCUAGGUUUGAUCCCUGGUCGGGGAA
rnacentral:tRNA from 1 species